CAGUCUUUUAUUUUCUUCUAUCACUAAGCUCAACAUGUCAAUGCUUCUCCGACGGCAGCGGCAUCAUGCGAGGCGUUCACAGUGUUCAUGAUCAAUGGCGGGAUCGCGGGAAGGAAUGGAGGGGUUUUAUUUAACCUACAAAAUCCUCCCAUAUUUUCCCAUCCAGCUAGCAGAGGCAAGAGCUACAGGGGAAGUAGGAGCACCGGGAGCAGAGGCAACAAACCAAGCUUUUAUUCAGAACCUCAAGAUUUUGAAGCAUCCGUUGAUUCAGAACCUCCAACUGAUGUCAUUUCGUGUACUGGUUUUCCAGCUCCAGAUCGAGGGGUUUAGAGAUCUUCAACAGUUUUCGAUGCCAUAGCCGGCCCAAGGGUUGAAUCAGAAGGGAACAACACCAUUAGUAGAGAGAAAGCAAAUAUAAGGAAAGCAAAUUGAACAAAUCAAGCACUUUGCAAAGAAAGGUUAUUCUACCUUGGCAAUUCUAUUAGGGCUAUUUUCUUGGUUUCUAUACGAAAUGGCAGACCAGGGAAAUAGCACAUCAUCAUCAUCUGAAUAUUUAGAUGAACGACCAGCAAGACCCACUCUAGGGACAGAUGAAUACUUCAACGAAAUGGUGUAUUGCAUUUGCAAUAGGUGCCAAAAUAGGAAACUAAAGAAGCGAUGACUUGUUGGUAUCCAUAGAUUGAACUAUGGGGUUUAUAUAGAAGAGGUACACUAUAAUUAACAAAUUAUUAUUUUUUAAAUAAAUAAAGGUGCACAUUAUUCAAUACAUUAUUAUUGACCAUUUCAAUUGGUUUUCUGAUAAAAAGCCGCUUCCAGUUCACAAUAUUUCUGAAGAACCAACAGAUGUCACCGAUGAUAGCCACUCUCAAGAUGAAGAAGAAGACACAGUUAUGGAUGAAGACACUUCAGAGAUAAAUGAGGCUGGUGUCAAUGAAUUCAUCCAAGACUUCUACACAUCUUUUGAAGAAGUUAUUGAUUCCCCCCUAGCUCAGUUGGCUACGACACCUGUUUUCCCAAAUGCAGAUACUUCUAUAUUGGCAGCACUUAUGUUGUUGUUGAAUUUGAAGGUUACACAUGGACUGACAAAUACAUGCUUUACUGAUAUAUUAAGUCAGAAUUCUCCCACCAACAACCGAACAAGUUUCCUUGAGGAGUCUCAUAGAUUCACAAUCAAGAAUACUAAGGCUCCUACCAGAUACUCCUGAAAAUGUUCCAACCAGACAAGAAAUACUUGUACAAAUUCAGUUAUGGGAAAGGGCAUUGUUGGAGAGUGCAGGGCCUACCUCAGAUGAACAGGAAAUAAAUGGCAAAGUGAUUGAUGCACCUAUAGGAGCAUCUACCUCAACCCCUAAGACUACAACAAUAUCCUUAGUGACUACAAAAGGAACGCAAGAAGUUACAAUCUUGCUCACCUCAGAAGGAAAUGUCUUGAAGGAUGAAGUGGGGUUAAAAUUUUUUCACUUUAUUUUUCGUCGUGCAGAACAAUUAUUUGGAAAUACCAUUCAAAUGGAUUGGAGGAAGCAAUCCAAUGCUAAGAAAGAGGAACUCUUUAAAGAUGUCAUAACAACAUUUGGAAAUCCAGGUUUUAAUAAAGAUAUCAUUCUUGAUAUUGCACGGAUACAUGCACUCUAAACGAGAUAAUUUAAGGUCGAGUCUGACAAAAGACUUGAGAUAUCCACGUCCAGCUUGGAUUAUAGACCAAGUGACAUGGGAUGAACUUAUGAAAGAUGCCAAAUUUAAGAGGAAAUCCCACAAUAAUCCAAACUAUAGGCCAUCUACACGAGGAGGAUCUAGAAGACGCCUUCGAGAUACAACAAAAGCAACCCAAGCUAGGGUGUCAAGUAUUGGAUCCUAUUAAUUAGGAUCUGGUGGGUAUAAUAGCAUUCGUGGUGGUUUGGUUCACCAAUUUCAAAAGGAAGCUUCAGAGGAGGACCUAAAAUAUGCUUUAUUACAUGGUUCCCAAGGCCUACGACAACAUUUGGUAGAUCGAGGGGAGAUUUUAGUGAGUGGUCAUGAAUCUGAGGAAGCCCAACAAUCACACUCAUCAGGUAGUGAGCAUGAAGAGGAGGUAGAGGAUCAUGAUGAAUUGUUUGUUGCACACAAUGAUUCGAUUGUCAUUCCUGAAACUCGGCAGGAAACCAUCUUUGAAUUUCAACAAGCGAGAGACAACAAUAUGGAGGAGGGUGUUCAAUGUGAUGAACUAUCCACACCCACAAUCAGAAAGGUGCCUUGUAAAAAGAGGACACAAAGCAAGAGGAUGGAUAGAAACAAGUGAACAAAAGACAUGUUUGCUUCCUAUCAUUGUUCAGUUUUCAUUGCUAUUAUAAACCUAAUUUAUAUCAUCAUAUUUUUUUAAUUGAUACUUGUGAAUUUAUUUACUCUCAAGCUCUUCCUUAAGAACAUGUGGUGUUGGCUGUUUCUUAAAUAAUUAUCAAUUUUGAUUAGGAAAGUAGGUAAUUGUACUUGGUUUAGAGGUUGCUAAAUUCCAGUAGCCUCACACUAAUGAUACCACAUUGAUAAAUUAUAACUUU